rnacentral:rRNA from 1 species
ACACACGACCGUACCGCAAACCGACACUGGUGCGCGAGAUGAGUAUUCUAAGGCGCUUGAGAGAACUCAGGAGAAGGAACUCGGCAAAUUGACACCGUAACUUCGGAAGAAGGUGUGCCUUUAGUAGGUGAACCUGUACAAGGGGAGCCCAAUGAGGUUGCAAAAAAUCGGUGGCUGCGACUGUUUAAUAAAAACACAGCACUCUGCAAACACGAAAGUGGACGUAUAGGGUGUGACGCCUGCCCGGUGCUGGAAGAUUAAAUGAUGGGGUGCAAGCUCUUGAUUGAAGUCCCAGUAAACGGCGGCCGUAACUAUAACGGUCCUAAGGUAGCGAAAUUCCUUGUCGGGUAAGUUCCGACCUGCACGAAUGGCGUAACGAUGGCCACACUGUCUCCUCCUGAGACUCAGCGAAGUUGAAAUGUUUGUGAUGAUGCAAUCUCCCCGCGGAAAGACGGAAAGACCCCAUGAACCUUUACUGUAGCUUUGUAUUGGACUUUGAACAGAUCUGUGUAGGAUAGGUGGGAGGCUUUGAAGUGUGGUCGCUAGAUCGCAUGGAGCCAACGUUGAAAUACCACCCUGGUGUGUUUGAGGUUCUAACCUAGGCCCGUAAUCCGGGUCGGGGACAGUGCAUGGUAGGCAGUUUGACUGGGGCGGUCUCCUCCCAAAGCGUAACGGAGGAGUUCGAAGGUACGCUAGGUACGGUCGGACAUCGUGCUAAUAGUGCAAUGGCAUAAGCGUGCUUAACUGCGAGACUGACAAGUCGAGCAGAUGCGAAAGCAGGACAUAGUGAUCCGGUGGUUCUGUAUGGAAGGGCCAUCGCUCAACGGAUAAAAGGUACUCUGGGGAUAACAGGCUGAUACCGCCCAAGAGUUCAUAUCGACGGCGGUGUUUGGCACCUCGAUGUCGGCUCAUCUCAUCCUGGGGCUGUAGCCGGUCCCAAGGGUAUGGCUGUUCGCCAUUUAAAGAGGUACGUGAGCUGGGUUUAAAACGUCGUGAGACAGUUUGGUCCCUAUCUUCCGUGGGCGCUGCAGAUUUGAGGAAGCCUGCUCCUAGUACGAGAGGACCGGAGUGGACACACCUCUGGUGUAUCGGUUGUCACGCCAGUGGCAUUGCCGAGUAGCUAUGUGUGGAAGAGAUAACCGCUGAAAGCAUCUAAGCGGGAAACUCGUUUCAAGAUGAGAUCUGCCGGGGCCUUGAGCCCCCUAAAGAGUCGUUCAAGACCAGGACGUUGAUAGGUCGGGUGUGGAAGCGCAGUAAUGCGUUAAGCUAACCGAUACUAAUUGCUCGUGCGGCUUGACC